ensembl:lncRNA
CAUCAUCACUUAGAAUAGCUGUGAAGAUUUGCUGGACAUAGGCUGUGUCCUGAUUUUUUGCUCUAAGAAACAGUACUGAGAUGAGCGUCUUUUUAUACAUGAUGAGCACUUGAUUGAUUAUAUACUUAAGAUAAACUCAUAAGUACGGAAUUUGUUAGAUCAAAGCAGAACCUAUGUUGAAGGCUUGGGAGUCUUGUUACUAGCUUACUUUUCCAAGUUAUUCUGAUUCUUUUUGUGUGUGUGUGUGUCUUUUGCCUUUUGUCUUUGGUCUUUUUAGGGCCGUACCCACGGCAUAUAGAGGUUCCCAGGCUAGGGGUUGAAUUGCAGCUGUAGCCGCCGGGGUACACCACAGCCACAGCAACUUGGGAUCCAAGCCACGUCUGCAACACUGCAGUUCACAGCAAUGCCGGAUCCUUAACCCACUGAGCAAGGCCAGGGAUCUGACCUGAGUCCUCAAGGAUACUAGUUGGGUUCAUUAACCACUGAGCCAUACAGGAGCUCCUAUUCUGACUCUAUCAACCGGUCAUGUGAGAAGUGGUUUUUCAUUGUUUUCAAUUGCAUCUUUGUUUUUCAGGCCGAGCAUUUCUCUGUAUUGUGUUGGCCAUUUGAAUAUUAUGGUCAUUUGGCUAGUCUGCUUUUUCAUUUUCUAUAGAGGUAUUCCUGUUUUGGCAUAUUGUUUUGUGAAAGCACUUCAUGCAUUAGGGACAUGGAUUUCUUCUCUGCCUUGUAGGUAUUUUCCUCACUAGAUGGGAAUUUUGAUUGAGAUUUAGUCAAACGGAACAUUAAUUUGGUGGGUAUGAGCAUGUUUUUCAGUAUUGAGUCUUGCUGUUUGAGAAUAAUGUUUUAAACACUUCUGAUCUAAGGAAACUGUAAAAAGUGAAAGGGUACAGAGUGACUUUUUCCAAGCCCUUCCGUUUAUUGCCUUGCCUCAGGGUAGAACUGUUCGUAAAUCAUUUGAGAAAACCAAGCAGCUAAAGGGUUUUCACCAGCCAAGUGAUUGGAUUCCAUCUGGUUAGUUUUUGAAGUCUUCUUUUAAAUGAUUUAAGCAUACUCACCUAUUGUUCCUUCUCAAAGCUAGUAGCUUUGGCUCUUUGAAAUAGUCUGUUCGAAUGGUUCUUUAUGGCUUUGGGAGUCUGACAACUUUAUGAUUAUGCAAAUGUUAUUGAGAUCAUCUUGAUAGAUGUUCCCUGAGCCUGUGUCUCACUGCACAGAGACUGCGUCUUUAACUGUCACAGGGUUGGCUAGUGUGACCUUCACAUCAGGCUGCAUAAAACACGCUUGCCAGGCAUCCUAGGACAAUUUGGAGCGGUUGCCUGGGCAACCUCACUUGCUGCUAAUCGUUUGCCCCACGUCCCAGUGGGAAUGUCACAUCUGAAGGGAGGAACUCUGUCCUUAGAGUCGCAGCAGAAGUGCAUUUGUCUGUUUUAGGACACACUACUAAUGUUGGGGAGAGGUGAGGUUAUGCCAUGAUUUGGCAGUGAACUCAGGGGAGGGAGAGACUGAAGGAAAGAAAAAGGGAAUCAAGAGAACAGGGAUAGAAGAAAGGCUGGCAAGAGGAGAAGAUUGCAUUGAAGUCAGUAGUAGAAAUCCAAAUAAUAGAUAGGAGUGAAUGGUCCAUUCCCAAGAAAACGCUAUAGCCCAGAGUGAGCCGAAGCUCAUGGAGAAUGACAACUAAAAAGUUAUGCUUAGGAAAAAAAUCCAGGGUGAAUAAUAAGUAUCUGGGGGAACAAAGAGAAUAGCAGAAGUAUAUGAUGAAAUUUUUUUUUUUUUGCACUGAAACAGUCUUGUCUAUAUGAUAUAUUUAAUCAACUCUUGCUUUAAGGAAUUAAAUAUUAUAUUCUUUCCAGUACCCUCCAUUAUAACUUGAAGAAAUCAUGAAUGAUUUUUCUGGAAUCAGAAUGAUGCCACUUAGAAUCAGGGGACACGCUUUUACUUGUUGCGUCCAUGACUCAGAACCAUUAUAGAUUUGAAACUAGUAUAGUUAGAGUCAAGUUUUAUAAAUAAAAUGAAACAUAUCUAUAGUACACCAGGAUGGUUAUUAUGAGAGGUGGCAGUGUUUUAGCUGCUCGAAAAAGCAGAAUGCAGACUUGGGUAGCCCUGGGAAGAAAGCCUGACUGGGGAUGCCAGUGAAGCGACCAUCCUCUACCUUCAGAACCCUCAGUCAGGUGCUCAAUUUGUUCUUUAAAAAAAGAAGUUCAUGACUCACUCCUGAAAUACCCAGAACUGCUCUUCAGAGCCCCCUUUUUGUAGCUCUCAAGCCAGGUACAGAGGAGAUGCAAGUUUUACUGUAGUUGAAACUGGCAGAUCAAGCACUUGAUAAAAUGCGCUGCCCAAGGCAGUCCCUCAGUCAGUGUUGGACAGAGACAGUAUUGUUCUGAUUUUAGGUCCUUGGAAAAUGUAAGCUUUGCUCAGAUAUUUUCUGGAGAUGGAAUUUUGAGGUUCCAGAUGACCAUGGUUUGGGUCAAAGUCCUGGCAGGUAAGGGAUGGCAUACUUUAAAGGUUUAUUUAUUUACUGAAGUAGUUAAUGAGGGAAUGCUUGAAAGAUUUGAGGACAGGGUCCAGAGAACCCCCAGGUACCUUGGAGCUAGCAACAGUGGAAACCAUCACCAUUUCUAGGUCAGAAGGGAUAAGAGAAGAAGUGGUGUUCCUGGGACCCAGUGAGAGCUCUGGUCAUGGAGCUCUAAGUGUAGAAAUAGCUGCAGCCAGGACAGAGGCUGGCAGGGAGAUGGGGAUGAGUGUAUAUACCUUUACCCCCUCUGGUCUCCUCUCUUCUCUGGUCUCCUGUUGGUGUCUUCUGUUAGCCAAAUCCAUCCUUAAGCUAGAGGUAAGGGAUCUACAAGCUACAGUCUAUAGAGGUCAGCUUCCGGGAGUACAGGGAAGGGCAAGAGAAGUUGGAUAAUGGUUCAGGGAGGAUGCAGGGGCAAGUGGAGAAUAACUAUCAGGAUGUGCAAAUCUCCUCUAUUCUCUAAGGAUCUCCUUACCCUUUGGGAGCAUAAGCAUUUGGCAGAGAAGUUAUUUAUAAAAGAAUGCCAUUUAUAGGAGCUGGGCAGUAGAACAGGAACACCAAUCAGUCUUGUGAUUUUCCCAGUUGAUUACUCCCUUGUUUGUGCUAUAUUGAGUCUAGUGCAUAUGCUACAACUGCUGUUAUUUCUUUAGGUGUGUCUCUCUGCCUCCAGACUUCCAGUCCUUCGGAGUAUGAACUUCCUUUUAUUUGUCUUGGUCUCUCCAGCAUCUAGCCAGGUGCAUGGCAUGUAGUUGGAAAUUUUGUCUUGAGGAAUGAUGGAAUGACUGUUUCUAACCUCUUUCAGGAUAAAUUUGACUCCUAUAGUGUUUCUCAUAGUUAAACAGUUAUUCCUCUUUCUCCAGUGCUGGGCCUCUUGCAUGAUUAUUUUUCAGUAAAAAGUAGGGAGGAUUCAUGAAUCUAAGUUCUCUACCAGCUGAAGCUCUGGCAUUGUUAGUGACCACAGUAGAGAUACUUCUGCUCUCAUUGUGAGUCAUAAAGUAACAAUUUCAAUGAGCAUCUCCUGUGUGGCCAACGUGUUUACUGAUUCUUAUACUAAGUAUGAGACCAGUGCCUGUGGAAUACGUUUGAGGCUUGGGCAUGAUGGUUCCAAUCAUAUGCAUCAGGUAUAAAGAGAAGAGGGGUCAGCGAUAUUCUGUUAUAUAGUAAAGUUAAAUCUGGGUCUGUCAUGAACAUAUGUGUAGUGUUAGCAGAAAGACGACGGACUCGCCCUACCACGUUUCAGGAACCUGUUAUGAAGUUAUAGAAAGUCAGUGUGGUACUAGCACUGGGACAGAUAAUUGACCAGUGGAAUAAAUAAAAAUCCCAGAAACAUGCUGGAUUAGUCUGAUAGGGCCGCCAUAACAGAACACCACAGACUGGGUGGCUUAAACAUUAGAAAUUUAUUUUCUCACUGUUCUGGAGGCUGAAAGUGCAAGAACGAGGUGAUGUUAGAGUUGGGUUCUGGUGAGGACUGUCUGCUUGGCUUGCAGAUAGAUGUCUGCCUUCAUGCUAUGUCCUCACAUGGCCUUUUCUCUGUGCAUGUUCCCCCAUGGUGUCUUUUAUUCUUCUUAAAAGGACAAUAGUCCUGUCGGAUUAGGGCCAUACCCUUAUGAACUUAUUUAACUUUAUCCCCUCAAAGGCCCCAUAUCUAAUUACAGUCACAUCGAGGGUUAUGGCUUCAACAUAUGAAUUUUGGGAGAACACAGUUCAGACCGUAACACCUGCCUGUACACAGGUUUAGAACUUUGGCAUGUCAGAUCAGUAGGAAAUGGAAGAGCUAUUCAGUAAACAGAGCUGAGAAGAAAUGGUUAUCCUUAGGAGAAAAUAUGAAAACAUAUCCUUACUUCAUACCCUAUACAGAACAAACAAACAAACAAAAGUCCAGAAGGAUCAAAGUCUUAAAUGUCGGGGAAAAAAAAACAAACAAACCCACAAAACUUCAAACUUUAAGGCGUUAGACUUAGUCACAGGAAAGGAUUUACUAAGGUUUGGUUUUGUUUUUUCAGAUUUUUAGUCUUCAAAGGAGGAGAUUUCUUCAAACACACACAUACAAAAAAUAUUAAAGAUAAAGGAAAGAUUGACAAAUUGGACUACAUUAAGAUUGUUUUCAUCUAAACAAGCAUUACUGAAGUUAUAUGAUGCCUGUUAUUUGUUUCAAUGUAAUUUGUGGGAAUGGAGGGGAAAGAGGGGUAUAGAUGAAACAAGACUGGCCAUGAAUUGAUCAUUUUUUAGAUUGGGUGAUGGGUACAUGGGGUGCAUUAGACUAGGCACACAAAAGAUGAAAGGACUAGUAGAGUAUACAAAGAAGUCCUACCAAUCAAGAAGAAAAGCAUGAAUAAUCUACCCCCCAAAAAAAUGGACAAAGGAUACGAAUGGGUAUUUUAUAGAGAUAAGGAGGCACAUAUGGGCAAGAAAUAUAUAAAAAAUGUUCAACAUCUUUUGUGAUUUGGAGGGAAAUACAGUUUAGGGCCACAAUGAGGUACUCUUUUAUACCCAUUCAAUUGGAAAAAUUGAAAGGUUUGUUAAUAUCAACUGCUAGGGAACAUGGAGAUCCAGAAAAUCCCAUACCCUGCUUGUAAAUUGGUGCAACCACUUUAGAGAAUAGGUCUGGCAUUAUCUCAUAAAAUUGACCACAUUUCUGACAUUUUACGUGCAUGUACUUAUAUAUAUAUAUAUAUAUAUAUACACACACACACACAUAUAUAUAUACACUCUUCUUUUAUAUAUAUGAAAUUCUUGCACAUAUGUACAGAAAUAUUUAUGGUAGCACUGUACACAACAUGAGAAAUAUGGGAAAACUCCAAUGUCUGUGGGCAAGAGAGAGGAUGAAAAACUGUACUAUAGACACCCAAUGGGAAAUACGCCACAAUCAGAAUAAAGUAUAAUGAAAGAAUUGCAAUAUAGAUGUUUUAACAAUAUAAAAUGAACACAUUAUAAAAAUAUUACAUAUAGUACCCUUUUAUAUAAAUUUAAAAGCACUAAAAUCAUAGCCAUAGUUUUUAGGAAUACAUGUAGAUGAGAUGAUAACAUGUAGAAAGGAAAAUAACAGGCUAUUGAAUGCAUAAUUUAGGAUGCUUGUUACCUCAAGUUGUGGGGACCAGGAAGAUGAGACUGGAAGGGCUAUUUGGGUAGAUGAGUUAUUGUCAGAGUCUAAUUUUUGAGUCACAUGAUGGGUUCAUGGUUGCAUGUUACAAUAUUAGAUAUGAAGAAUGAGUGAAUGAGGGCAGCAUGUGUGGCCGAGAGAUGUGAGUGGGAUGUCCCACAUCAAAGAUCGUGAUUAAUCCAGUUCUGUGCAAUUGAGGUUGAAUGAAACAAGAAAAAAAGGAUUAGGAUGGGUGAAAAGGGACUAGUACCAGAGUACAUUUGCCAUCAGAAAUUUGGAAAUUGUAUAUUUUGUAUAGGAGGAUAACAGGGUUCAGGCUAAGUAGCAAGUACAGAGAGACAGCAAACAAAAUUAAUUGCUUAUAGAAGAUAAAAGGUCUCUCUCCCACUUUCUCUCUCUUAUUCAUGUAAUAAUUUAGAUCAUAGAUAUUCAAAAAAAAUAUAAUGAGCCACUUUAGUAACAAUAUUAAAUUUCAUAAUAGCUAUGUUAAAAAAGAAAAAA